UUUUGACUAAUUGACCUCAAAUCAGGC
rnacentral:rRNA from 1 species